UUCUUGGCUGUCAGGCCCUUUCCACUUGGUUGCAGUUCCGGUUGCAGCAGGCAGGGGCGCUGGCGGCUCCCGGUGAGCAGGGCAGGUGCGAUGGUUCCCCUGCAGCUGCAGGGGGAGCUCUGGAGCGAGCUCAGGGCGCACGUGGUAAUGGCGGCUUGGGAUCCGGGGAAGAGAUGGAACAAAGGCUUCAUAAACCCCCUGGGCAGCCGAUCCCGAUGUCUGGCCGGACCCUGGGGAACAGCAGACUGGAACAGCAGGCUGGCACGGCAG